rnacentral:rRNA from 1 species
CAGUAGCCGCGGGAAUACGAAGGGGGCUAGCGUUGUUCGGAUUUACUGGGCGUAAAGCGCACGUAGGCGGAUCGAUCAGUCAGGGGUGAAAUCCCAGAGCUCAACUCUGGAACUGCCUUUGAUACUGUCGAUCUGGAGUAUGGAAGAGGUGAGUGGAAUUCCGAGUGUAGAGGUGAAAUUCGUAGAUAUUCGGAGGAACACCAGUGGCGAAGGCGGCUCACUGGUCCAUUACUGACGCUGAGGUGCGAAAGCGUGGGGAGCAAACAGGAUUAGAUACCCCGGUAGUCCCUGUCUCUUAUAC